rnacentral:rRNA from 1 species
GUUGGCUUAGAAGCAGCCAUCCUUUAAAGAAAGCGUAACAGCUCACUGGUCUAAACAAGGGUUCCUGCGGCGAAGAUGUACCGGGGCUCAAGACACGCACCGAAGCUUAGGGUGUGACAUUAGUCACGCGGUAGCGGAGCGUUCCGUAAGCCUGCGAAGCGGUCUGGUAAUGGACCGUGGAGGUAUCGGAAGUGCGAAUGCAGACAUGAGUAGCGAUAAACAGGGUGAGAUGCCCUGUCGCCGAAAGACCAAGGGUUCCUGCUUAAAGCUAAUCUGAGCAGGGUGAGCCGGACCCUAAGACGAGGCCGAAGGGCGUAGUCGAUGGGAAGCAGGUUAAUAUUCCUGCGCCUGGGGAUGUGUGACGGAUCGCGUGUGUUGUUCAACCUUAUCGGAUUGGUUGGGCUUCGAAGCGGUUCCAGGAAAUAGCCUCCCCGUACAGUCCGUACCCGAAACCGACACAGGUGGUCAGGUAGAGUAUACCAAGGCGCUUGAGAGAAGUGUGCUGAAGGAACUCGGCAAAUUGCCUCCGUACCUUCGGAAGAAGGAGGCCCCAUGUAAGCGCAAGCUCUCAUGGGGGGCACAGGCCAGGGGGUAGCGACUGUUUAGCAAAAACACAGGGCUCUGCUAAGUCGGCUUCAAGACGACGUAUAGGGUCUGACGCCUGCCCGGUGCCUGAAGGUUAAGUGGAGGUGUGCAAGCACUGAAAUGAAGCCCAGGUAAACGGCGGCCGUAACUAUAACGGUCCUAAGGUAGCGAAAUUCCUUGUCGGGUAAGUUCCGA